rnacentral:rRNA from 1 species
UACGUAGGGGGCAAGCGUUGUCCGGAUUUAUUGGGCGUAAAGAGCGUGUAGGCGGCCAGGUAGGUCUGCUGUGAAAACUCGAGGCUUAACCUCGAGCUGUCGGCGGAAACCAUCUGGCUAGAGUCCGGAAGAGGAGAAUGGAAUUCCCGGUGUAGCGGCGAAAUGCGCAGAUAUCGGGAAGAACACCCGUGGCGAAGGCGGUUCUCUGGGACGGUAUUGACGCUGAGACGCGAAAGCGUGGGGAGCGAACAGG